UCUCUUUCUCUCUCUCUCUUUCUUGAUUUAUGGCCAAGGGAAGGAGCUGUGGACUCUCCAUUGAUUCAGAUCUAAUCACUUCUACUUUCUUUAUCCAUAAGCCUACUGUGCUCAAUUCUUUCCCUGAAGAAAAUUUCAAGAAUCCCAACUGUAAUAACCUCACUCUAAUGGAUGCUUCUGCUUCAAGGUCUCCUCCUCCCACUAUCCAAUUCCCAGUCAAUCUUAACUCCACCACUCAUGACCAUGAAGAUGAUGAUGAUGAUGUUUCUUUACCCUCUGAUGAUAAUAAACGGAAGGUCAUCGAUGAAAUGGAUUUUUUUGCAGAGAAAGAGCAUGAUGAAGUUAAGCCUUCUAAUAACUUAACCCAUGGUUUUAAAGAACUUAAGAGUCCUACCCGAUUGGAGUUUGACGUAAACACUGGUUUGAAUCUUCUUACUACCAAUACUAGCAGUGAUCAAUCCUUGGUUGAUGAUGGAAUAUCGUCGAACAUGGAAGAUAAGAGAGCUAAAAGUGAGUUAGCAGUUCUGCAAGCAGAGCUAGAGCGCAUGAAAGUUGAGAAUCUACGGUUAAGAGAUAUGCUGAAUCAGGUUACCAGCAAUUACAAUUCGUUACAGAUGCAUUUAGUCACAAUUAUGCAGGACCAAAAGCCUCGAGAGAGCAAUCAAGAGCAUGUGCAAGAUGGAUUAGACAGAAAACUUGAAGACAAUAAGAAACAUAGCGGGAAUGGAGUAGUGGUUCCUCGACAGUUCAUGGAUCUUGGUCCGGCUACUGCUGCCACUAUUGGUGGUGGUGGUGACACAGAUGAGCUUUCUUUAUCUUCAUCAGAAGGAAGAAGUCGCGAUCGAUCGAGGUCACCGGGAAAUAAUGAAGAGAAUCGAAAUAAUAAUGAAGAUGGGAUGGUGUUUGAUCAAGAUAAGAAGAGAAAUAUCGGUAGAGAAGAUAGUCCAGAUCAAGGGUCCCAAGGUUGGGGUCCUAAUAAGAUUGCUAGAUUUAAUUCGACAAAAAGUAAUGUUGAUCAGACAGAGGCUACCAUUAGAAAGGCUCGUGUGUCUGUCAGAGCUAGAUCAGAGGCUCCUAUGAUAACUGAUGGAUGCCAAUGGAGAAAGUAUGGACAGAAGAUGGCUAAGGGAAAUCCAUGUCCUCGAGCUUAUUAUAGGUGCACCAUGGCCGCUGGUUGCCCAGUUAGAAAACAGGUAAAUAAAUAUUUUUUUUUUCUCAAGACCCUUUGAUAGAUAAUUGCAUAUGUUGGAUUCCUGAUACAUGAAUUUUGUUUUUGAUAGGUACAAAGAUGUGCAGAAGAUCAAACGAUCCUCAUAACGACAUAUGAGGGUAAUCACAACCAUCCUUUGCCUCCGGCUGCAAUGGCUAUGGCAUCAACAACUUCAUCAGCAGCAAGAAUGUUACUGUCAGGGUCCAUGUCUAGUGCUGAUGGAAUAAUGAACCCAAAUUUCCUGACCCGAACUCUCCUACCAUGCUCCUCUAGCAUGGCAACCAUAUCUGCUUCAGCCCCAUUUCCUACAGUUACAUUAGACCUAACCCAAAACCCAAACCCAUUACAAUUCCAAAGACAGCCAAGUCAAUUCCAAGUUCCAUUCCCAAACCCACCUCAAAAUUUUGCCAAUUCUUCAGCAGCAGCAGCAGCACUGCUACCUCAGAUUUUUGGACAAGCAUUUUACAAUCAAUCAAAGUUUUCUGGGCUACAAAUGUCUCAAGACGUGGAAGGUAAAAAUAAAUUAGGCCACCAAUCACAAGUAGGAGCAGCAGCAGCAAUCCACCAGCAGCAGGGGCAGCAAAAUUCAUUGGCUGACACCGUUACCGCUGCAACUGCUGCUAUUGCAGCUGAUCCCAACUUCACUGCAGCUUUGGCAGCUGCAAUUACCUCAAUAAUUGGUGGUGGUGGCGCUCAACCCAGCAACAUAACUAGUAGUUCUACUACUUCUAGCACCAACCUCAUAACCAUCAGCAAUACCAGUGGCAGCAUAUCUACUACCAUCAGCAAUACCAAUGGCAACAAUAAAAUCAACAACUGAAGUUUCCAGUGAAAUUGAUGGCAAAUAUUUUCCCUUUCCUUUCCUUUCUUUUCUUUUCUUUACUUUCAUUUUCUUUUCCUUUCUGACACAGAAAGGAAAAGAAAGAAAAGUAAAGGAACAGCAAGAAAAAUCGUAAGUGUCAUUUUUAUUUCGAUAAAUCCAGCGAUCUUAGACUUGUUUUCCUUUUUCUUCUUUUUUUAUUCUCUGCUCUUCUCUCUGCAUUUUAUUUGGAGAAUUCUGAUUUCUUGGAUCUCGACGGCAAUACAAUGCCUGCUUCUUCACGAUCUUAGGUCCAUCUUCUCUUCUCAUUCUUCAGAUUCCACUUAUUCUUUAGCGCACAUUUUGUCCGUAUACGUCUAUUUUGCUUGAAAUUUAGGGCUUUUGCUUGGAUCUGGUAGAUUUCUGCCGCAUCCACCUGCAUUUCAGAUUCUGGCUGUCAAAAUUUGGACUGGCACUGUGUCCAUAAUUUCUUUGGGAGAGGAAGAAGUCUAGGUCAUCUCAACAUGAACAAUCAACAAGAAAGAAAAUUAGGUGAGAAUGUGAUAUAUGACGGCCUAAAUGGCAAUCAUGGUCUGAAUGCUGAAGAAAAAGAAGGGCCUGAAGGUGCAGUCGAUGGCAACGUACAAUCCUUGGUUGAGUGGUUGAACCAUAUGAUUCCCCAUUUAAAUUUGCCAUUGGAAGCUUCAAAAGAAGAAUUGAGAGAAUGCCUCAUUGAUGGCACUGUUUUGUGUAGUAUCUUGAGCAAGCUGAAUCCUGGUUUGAUUGAAAUGAGGGGCAACUCUGAGCCUGGCCCAGAAAAAAUAAAAAAGUUUCUAGCAGCAAUGGAUGAAAUGGGAUUGCCUAGGUUUGUACUUGCAGACAUACAACAGGGAUACAUGGUGCCAGUUUUGCAGUGCCUUGGCACGCUUAAAGCACAUUUUGAUUAUAAUGGUGGGAAAGAGAGCAUCCGUAAUCAUUCAAGAAGGUUAUGGAAUCUAUUGUUGGCAAAUACCAAGGGAAUAAGUCAACAAUCAGAAGGAAUUGAUCAUUCCAAAGGGGUGCAUCGUUCUGUUAUAUCAGAGCCAUCUCCUACUUUGUUACAUGAUGCUGGACACAAGUUUUCUGAGGAGUUGCCACCAAAGCAAGGAUUCUAUAUUGAUCUUUCAGAUUCAAAUAUUUUGGAAUUGAUGAAAUCAAAUGGUUUGGAUAAUGCCUCAACCCGAACAUUGUUCAGUUUGGUGAAUAGGAUUCUGGAUGAUAGCAUUGAAAGGAAAAACGGCCACGUUCAACAUAUGGUACAUAUAAUGAAGAAAGUCAUCCAAGUUGUUGAGCAACGAUUUUCAAUUCAAGCAGGGAAUUUGAGAGAUCAAAACAAUCUUUAUAGCAUUCGUACAGAGAAGUACCAAUCAAAGAUGAGAGUACUUGAGACCCUUGUAUCUGGGACAGCAGAAGAAAUUGAGGUAUUAUUGUCACAGCUACAACAGAUAAAGAUUGAGAAAACCAAAAUAGAGCAGAAGGAAAAGCUUCAAGAGCAGGAUCUCCGUAGAUUAAAGGAAGAGAAAAAUCAUAGUGAUAUUGAGAAAUUAACUCUGAGACAGGAACUAGAAUUAGCCAAGAAGACGCAUGAAGAGCAUUGCUUAUUGUUGGAAGUGCAGGCAAAAGAAACAAAAGUUGAAUUAGAGAAGAGAUUGGAGGAACUUCAGUGUUUUCUAGUGGAGUCAAGAAACAAAGUGAAAGAACUUGAGUCAUAUUCUAAAUCUAAAUCUCAAAGAUGGAAAAAGAAAGAGGGAAGCUAUCAGAGCUUUAUCAAUUAUCAAUUUAAAGCUUUGC
rnacentral:misc_RNA from 1 species